rnacentral:misc_RNA from 1 species
AAUUUUGUGGCCAAUCUCAGCUUCAUAAUCUAGCCUUUGCUUACUAUCCUUAGGCAAAAAUGUCUCUAAUGCAUCAAAAGGUAUCCAUAGAUAGUUAAAACAAGUGGCUAUUCUUGAUGUUAAAGUAGUUGGGUUUCCCAAAUCACAAUCUUCAUCAACAAUAGUCACAAUACAAGGGUUUAAAUCCUUAACCCUAUCAAGAAAUA